AAUAGAUACCCCCGGUAGUCCACGCCGUAAACGUUGGAUACUAGGUGUGGCGGUCUUACCAACGACUGCCGUGCCGAAGCUAACGCAUUAAGUAUCCCGCCUGGGGAGUACGGCCGCAAGGCUAAAACUCAAAGGAAUUGAUGGGUCCCCGCACAAGCGGCGGAGCAUGCGGCUUAAUUCGAUGCAACCCGAAGAACCUUACCUGGGUUUGACAUCACGGGAAAAGCUGUAGAAAUACAGUGUCCAUUAGGGCCCGUGACAGGUGGUGCAUGGCUGUCGUCAGCUCGUGUCGUGAGAUGUUGGGUUAAGUCCCGCAACGAGCGCAACCCUUGUCCUAUGCUGCCAGCGGUUCGGCCGGGGACUCAUAGGAGACUGCCGGGGAUAACUCGGAGGAAGGUGAGGACGACGUCAAGUCAUCAUGCCCCUUAUAUCCAGGGCUGCACGCAUGCUACAAUGGCCGGUACAACGGGCAGCGAUCCCGCGAGGGUGAGCGAAUCCUAAAAAGCCGGUCCUAGUUCGGAUUGAAGUCUGCAA
rnacentral:rRNA from 1 species